GAUGAACGCUAGCUACAGGCUUAACACAUGCAAGUCGAGGGGAAACGAUAGGGAAAGCUUGCUUUUUCUAGGCGUCGACCGGCGCACGGGUGAGUAACGCGUAUCCAACCUGCCCAUCACUUGGGGAUAACCUUGCGAAAGUAAGACUAAUACCCAAUGACGUCUCUAGAAGACAUCUGAAGGAGAUUAAAGAUUUAUCGGUGAUGGAUGGGGAUGCGUCUGAUUAGCUUGUUGGCGGGGUAACGGCCCACCAAGGCGACGAUCAGUAGGGGUUCUGAGCGGAAGUCCCCCCACAUUGGAACUGGGACAAGGUCCAAGAUCCUACGGGAGGCAGCAGUGAGGAAUAUUGGUCAAUGGACGAGAGUCUGAACCAGCCAAGUAGCGUGCAGGAAGACGGCCCUAUGGGUUGUAAACUGCUUUUAUAAGGGAAUAAAGUGAGUCUCGUGAGACUUUUUGCAUGUACCUUAUGAAUAAGGACCGGCUAAUUCCGUGCCAGCCGCCGCCGUAA
rnacentral:rRNA from 1 species